rnacentral:snRNA from 1 species
AUUCUUAGGAGUGGUGAAUGCAAUGUUUGAGCAAAGAAGUGACAAAAGUGGUUUUCCCAGGGCAAGACUUUUUCAUUAUAUUCUGGAUGUGCUGACCCCUGUGACUUCCCCAAAUGUGGGAAACUUGUCUGCAUAAUUUGUGGUAGUGGGGAACUGCAUCUGUGCUCUCCCCU